rnacentral:rRNA from 1 species
UAGGGAAUAUUGCGCAAUGGGGGAAACCCUGACGCAGCGACGCCGCGUGGGUGAUGAAGGCCUUCGGGUUGUAAAGCCCUGUCGAGGGGGAUGAAUGACGAUAUGGCUAAUAUCCAUGUCGAGUGACCGUACCCCUAGAGGAAGCACCGGCUAACUACGUGCCAGCAGCCGCGGUAAUACGUAGGGUGCAAGCGUUGCUCGGAAUCAUUGGGCGUAAAGAGCGUGUAGGUGGUUAGGUAAGUCGGAUGUGAAAUCCCUCGGCUCAACCGAGGAAGUGCAUUCGAAACUACUUAGCUUGAGGAUGGCAGAGGAAGGUGGAAUUCCUAGUGUAGAGGUGAAAUUCGUAGAUAUUAGGAGGAAUACCUGUGGCGAAGGCGGCCUUCUGGACCAUUCCUGACAC